rnacentral:rRNA from 1 species
UACGUAGGGUGCGAGCGUUGUCCGGAAUUAUUGGGCGUAAAGAGCUCGUAGGCGGCGUGUCACGUCGGAUGCGAAAGCCCAUGGCUUAACUGUGGGUCUGCAUUCGAUACGGGCAGGCUGGAGUUCGGUAGGGGAGAUCGGAAUUCCUGGUGUAGCGGUGAAAUGCGCAGAUAUCAGGAGGAACACCGGUGGCGAAGGCGGAUCUCUGGGCCGAUACUGACGCUGAGGCGCGAAAGCCAGGGGAGCAAACGGG